GGCUGUGCCCCCGCCGUGCGGGGAGAGGGCCCGGGCGGGGCUGUGCCGGCGCGGUGCUUGGCCUUGGACCGAGCACGGACUGUGGGUUAAAGAGCAGGGCUGGCAUUGGUGGGGCGGCUGUCCGCAGGGAGCGGAUUAGAACGUGCCCUUGUCGCACGGCAGGUGACAGCCUGCGCUUCCCUGGUUUGAGGGGGUUUGUUAAGGGUUCUGGCUCUGCCCGAUGCCUGAUAAUUGCAUUAAUGGUGUCUGGUUGUCAGAGACGUACGGCUUGGUGUGACCAGCAGGAGGAGCUUUGCUUCCUUUUAAAGUCCUUAGUAGGUCUGGAAGUGGGUAGAUUGAGAUAAGAUAUGCGGGGAAAAUUCUUUACUGUGGGGGUGGGGAGGCACCAUCACAGGGUGCCCGGAGAAGCUGUGAUACCCUGUCCCUUGAAGUGCUCAAGGCCAGGCUGGAUGGGGCACUGGGCAGCCUGAUCUACUGGAAGGUGUCCCUGCCCAUGGCAGGAGAGGGUUGCUACCAGAUGGUCUUUGAGGUCACUUCCAACCCAAAUGUAUAAUCCAAUAUCCAUAGAACAUAAAUCAAGUUUAAAAAAGCUGAGAGGGCAGAUGAGAUGGUGUAAGACAUCUCAGCAUGGUAUGGGAGCAUCCAAGCUGACUUGCUAGUUCAUUGUUUGCCUGUGCUUGCUGUCUCACAUUGGCAUGCCUUUGCCAGCUGACUAGGUGCUGUCUUAGUUUCAGCCCUCUGGCUGGCAUGCAGGAGGUAGGCUGGAAUUUUGAGCAGUGCUUUUUGACUUUCUUGUAGUGAACAUUGUCCCUGCUUGUGCUACUCUUUUGUGCUGGGGAAUGGGAAACACGUGUUCACCAAAUAAGAGAGUAAUCAAAGCUCUGUGAGCCUUAAGGGGACUGGAGUUCUCUGAAACCCUGUGUGGAAGACCUAUGCUCAAAACUGGAAGGGAAAAUGGUCAAAGUGUUGCAUGGCUUGUGAAAUAAUACCAUUUCUAGUUACAGCUGAUUCCUGUGAAAUAAAGCACUUCAUUAUUCCAAGAGGAUACUUAAUUGGAAAGAGUCCUGAAGAGUCCUGCAAGCUUGCUUGAAGUCUUGGCUAAAGUCCAGUGGUGGUGAAGCUCAGGUGAAAUGGAGUCACAAGGAUUUAUUUCAUCCUUUGGCCCCUCCUGGAGGCAAGUACAAGGCAUUUGCUCAGGGCAUUGCUGCCAAGUAACUACACAGGUGGUGUGUUUGCCACAGGGUACACGAGUGCUGGAGGAAGGAUGUUGUGAGAUGUUCUGUGGUGCAGAUACUUCACCUGAACAUUGCAGCCUUUCAAGAUUUGCUGGUACUACAGCAAUGUAUGCUAUGCUUUUAUCACUUCAGGUGCAGCUCCCUCGAGUUCAGGAAGCUGAACCAGUUGCAUGCCAUUGUGCAAAAAGUCCAGUGUUCCAAGAGUGCUUCUCCUCACAGGCAGGUUCUCCAGUUUUAUCAUACUCCUCACUGAAGAAAAGGAGUGGUGGGAGUGUAAUGCUCUUUUAAUAAAAUCUGUAGCAUCACUAGUUCCACAUAUGUGGAGAAUUCUGAAUUACAAGUACAGCCCUUUGUAUUUCUUUCCUUAUUCUGUUUCUCCUCUAUGCAGAUACCUUUCGAUUAGGUGAGCUGUGGGUGAAAUAAAGGGCACUGGCACUUUGAUGACUUCUGUCACAGCUGUUGCCCACUGUAGACUUUAGGCCUGUGAUUUUAUCUCUGCAUAAAGAUACCUGGUAAGGAUGGUAAAUAUUGCAGUGGAGUGGUUGGGUCAAGCUUGGUUAUCUUUUCUAUAACUGUCAGAAAAAGUGCAUGUGAAAUCCUCAUCCAGGAUGGUCUGCUGGCUGAAUUACAGUAUGUUUUGUUAAACUGGUUUAGAAACUGUUGGUUUUACCUGCAGUGGUUCCCUUCACUCCCUCCCCAUCCGCCUGCAGUCAGUGCUGCUGCUCUGAGGAGGAUGCUGUGCACCCCACUUCACGGAUAAUUGUAUUUUGUUAUUUAUUUCUUAUUUCUUUAUCUGUAGAUGCAGGUGCCACUGAUGUCUCAGCUAAGGUAGGAAAAAGGAAAUUACUUCAGAAACUACCCAAAUGAACAGCUGAUGCAAGAGAGAAGUAAAACAAGUUUUCUCUGUGUGUGUUGUUCACUUUGAUCUGUUUUGGAGGAUUUGAUACUUGCCAGUGCAUGGAUAUUACUUGUUGGUCACAGCUUUGUCAGAGAUGUUAAUGAUGGAACCUGUGUUACAUGUCUCAGACUUGGAUAAUGUGUUCACCUGAAAGUGCCAAUGUCCAGAUCUGUCCUGACCCAUCAGGCCUCAAUUGCAAUGUCUUUAAGAAGCUUGCAGUCCUGUUGCAGAACUAGGUGCUGUGGCUGCAUCCCAUAGGAAAAGGUAGAAGGUGACAGCAGAACUGAAAACCCGCCUGUGGCAUUUCCUAAACAUCAGUAUGCUCUGCUUUAAUGCUGUUAAUGAGCACCUGCUGCAGUGUCUGUGUGCUCCUCAGCCUGUGCAGCUGAGAGGUUUAUGUGUGCUUUACUGUGCUGACAUCCUGCACUGCAGUACCGAUGGGUUGUCCUUGUUACUGAAGUGACUGUGGGCACUGUGAACUCUGGUAAGCAACUGCCCUGUUUCCUGACCUGGGGAAUCAGUUGGGAGAUCCUGAAGGAGAGAUGAGGAAGUUAAGUAGAAAUGUGCGAUGACUUUGCUCAAAGAAGAAAAUGCUCAGUCUAAGUCUAAUCCACGUUCAUACAUAGAAACCUGUCUUUGUGUCUCAGUGCUCCUUCUGUCAAGCGUGCUCUUCAAGAAACCAAGCAUUUGGAUGCUUAAAUUGGGUAUUUACUGGGUAGUAUACAAAGCCAGGCUGCAUAAGAAACACAGAUUUCAAGAUUGAGUGUAUUAAAUACAUCAUAUCAUAAUUUUUUUAGGUGUGUGGUGGUCUAGGUCUACUGUCACUGUCACAUCCAUGUCAGUACAGCACAGAGAACUGUUAGGGUUCAUGGAAAUGAUGGUCAGGCAUAAUGUCAUUCCUGGUAUAGAAAUUAACUGGACAAAAAGAUUUACAUGUGCACUGAAACAAAGUGGAAUAUGGUUUCUAAAAGUGAUACCAUCUAUGCUCAUCUUGGCACAUAAAUUUUGUUUUAAGAUCCUCUUUUCUUAAUUAUCUUGGCUGUAAGUCCCUUUGGGGGAAGGAGUGGAAGUGUUACUGACCAGCUGCUUAUUUCAAAGCCUGUGGGAGAAGAGUGUAAACUCUUGCAAAUUAAAGUUACUGUUCAGAUGAUAGUGGAUGAAGAAGCUGUGAUGAAGGUUGGUUUAUUUUAAUUGUUUCCUAUGGAGCUGUUUGCCAAAAAGUUUCUGGAGCUGCAAGGGGAAAGGUGAGAGGAUGAGUUCAGCUGGGAAGAAUAGCACAAAGAAGAGUGCUCUAAGAGCAGUCAAGAGCCAAAAUAGGAUGGACAUGUUCUUCAGCUGAAACAUGGCAGCAGUUCAAUAGCAGUUACACAAUAGGAAAGGGUGUGCAGGCUGCUGCAAGUCCCUGUGUUCUUUAGAUCUGGUAUCUGCAAGAACUCAGUAGAGGGAAAAAGGUGGUUGCUUACACAGCUUCAAACUCACUCAGUUCACUCAAGCAAACUCAUUUGAAAAGAGAGCUCCUCUAAUACUGAAACAGGAAAUUGAUUUUAUUUUAGAUACUGGGAAAGAUAAUCACAAUAUGCAGAAUUUAAAAAUGCUAGUCAGGACACUGAAAAACUGCAAGUAGCGAAGGACAGGAGGCUCCAAGACUCCAGCUGGGGGAAGCUCCCUUUUGGAAGGCACACUAGCAGUGGGGAGAACUUGCUAAACACAAGGAGACCCAAAAGUUCUGCAGCUGUUAGCUACACAUGGAUAUGUCUCUUAAGGUGGGAUGGCCUGACAUGACCACUAAAGAGCCUAAGGCUGUCAGCAGACUGCAUUUCUCUUAAAAGGAUAUAUGCCACUACCCAGUUCAGAACCACCCGAAGAGCUUCAGUUUUUGUCAGAUACUGUUAGUUCCUGGAACAAUAGCUUUUCUUGGCCCCCUAACUCCUGCAGAGCCAGCUGGCUGAUUGUAGCUGUGCACUGAAGAUAAGCCUUCCUCACCCCUGGAUUGCUGGAUAAUGGCUCAGGUGGACUCAGGGCUGAGCAUGAAUCCUUUGGCUGCCACUGUUCUGCCUUUAAUAUGUACAAUGGAUGCCCUGAGCACUUCCAUGUGGAACAAGAAACACUUGGAGUGCAGGUUUAUAUGUACUUUCUGUAAGCACUGCCCUCUUCAGCACAAAGUUUGAUAAAAUCCUGUAUUGCAUAAAGCAGGUAGAGGUAUCCCAGAGGUUAUGGUUGGUGUGGGCCUGACUCAGUUGCCACUAGGAAGGUCUAUUUUUGAUGUGGUGUGGUAAACCUGAGUUGGUAACUGAUUCUGUUUAGCUGAUGGGCUUGUCUGUGCUAGGAGAGCAGUCCAUGAGCUGACAAACAUUCAAGCAUGGUACUAGCUUUUACAUCUUUCAACAUUAAAAAAAAAAAAAUAGGUGGGAGGGGAGAGAGCAGAGGAUUUUUAAAGGCCAGAUAAAUUCUACUGAAAUGAAAAGCUCACUAAGAAUAUCUUCAUUGAAAGAAUGCAUUUUGGGAAAUUACCUCCUUUGUCAAGGACAAUAUGAGCCUUUGGUUAUGGCAGGUGUCCAGCACUGUUCCUUGGCCCUUUCUUUCAUGCGGUUAUAGGGGAAGAGUGUUGGAUGAAGGAAAAGUGAAAGCCAUAACCAGAGGUUAACAUUUAAUUUUAGCAACUAUGUUUAUGUGAAGUGAUGCACCAUUAUUAAUUUUCAAAGCAAGUCCCGCACCUAAACUGAUAGAAUCCCUGAUCGUGCGUGCAAGUGUCUUUGGGUUCUUCAGCUGUGUGAGUGCAAUGGUGCAAAAUUACAUGUUGCAUUCCUGUAUGAUUCAGCUUAAAAUACAAGCUUGGGCAGUGAGUACCUGAACAACAGUGUUGUAGUCAGAGCAUUCCUUAAUGCACAGAAACAUUUCCUUUUGGGUAAGUAAUGCUGCACUGUGAAAAAGCAUGCAGCUCCUAGGACAGCACCAUUUGAUUGAGUUCCCUGUGCUAAAAUUCCCUGGAUUUGCUCUCUUCCUUGCCCUGGACUCUACCCAAACUUCCAGUAUUUCUGUAUGUUACCACUGGUUUACUCUUCCAUUUUUGGGUGGGGUUUUUUUGCUGUUUAUUUGCAAAUAUCUCUUCCUGGAAAACUGGCAGCGACGGUAAGUAUCUCAGGUUCCUGGCCAAGUUUCCACUCACAUGGUUUCACUUGCUCCAUUCUGUCAAGUUAUUUACAUGUGGUGUCCUAAGGACGUAAUUUAGUGGAUUACUAGUGAGGAGCUAACCUACAUGUAUUGGCUGCAGUCCACAUAAGUUACACAAACCUGCUUCCUCAUGAAUUCAAUGGCUACUCUGGAAGCCCUUGGUUUCCUGAUGCACAACUUUAUGAAAAAGAUGUUACACUGCUCUUGCAGAGAUUUAAAGUUGGUCAUAUUGGCGUUGCUCGCUUUACCUGCUGAGUUGCAGGACCCAGAAUGAUUUCUGAACCUUGUUCUGCAUGCACAGCACCUAGGGCUCACAAGGUGAGAAGGAUAUCAGGUCUGGUGUGCCACAAUACAGGAAAGAUAGCUUAGAGAUGUGUAGUUGAUCACUUAAGCAACCUUGCUCUAGGUAACCCUUAACCCUCAUGUUCUGGUUUCAUGUGUAUCAGCAUUGUUUUGUUUCUAGUAGAGCAUCUUUGGGCAUGCAUUCCCAGGUAGUGUAAUUACUUGAAUUACCUGCUUUUGAGUUCUUGAAAAAUGCAGUUGCAUGAAGCAGAGGCAGCAGUGACAUUGGUAGUUUGAGGAAUUUGGUGUUACCUUCUGCCCUUGCCUUCCCAUGGUGCAGUACACCAUUCCCUUUCAUGCCAAUGCAACUACCUGGAGCAGCUUACAGAGCUACCAGUGUCUUAAUCAGGGUGGUAACACACACUCCCUGCUCUGGGUAUGUUUUUCUGUGGGUCACUGCUGAUGUCUGGAGGAAGAGGUUAGUAGUUCUGUGGCUUUCUAGAACUUGAAUUAGAUUUGUGAACUGGUUUAGAGCGUUUUCACCAUGGCACAAAAAACAGGUGAUUGGGUGCAUGCCAGAAGUCCAAAAUUGUUGUCUUGUUGCUGAAGUCUCUGACUCAUUAAAUUAUGCAUCUAAGGAUGCUGCUAAUUUUGUGGGGGAGGAGCAGUAGUGUCCCUUGUGCACAUGGCUGCUUUUUUAACCAUGUUUUUCUGUGUUAGGUCUCAUGACACAGCCUUGUGGUUUUGCUGUGUGUAGCCUUCUGACCAGGCAGCUCAAGUGAUCCUGAUGUCUGUAAGCAGCACUAGAAAUUGUUCAAUGUACUCCAGACAAAUCCUUGUGCAAACAGAGCUGGAGUAAGAUAUGGAACACUUUUCUCCUGAGUUUGGGGUUUUUUAAGUCACUGAGACUACCAAUAUAUUUUCCUUUGAUUGAACUAAUUCUUACAUGUAGGGAGUUGUAUAUUACCCCUGUACACAUAGCCGAAUACAAUUAUAUAUUCAAUGGCAGAGUAGAUCAGCAAAAGAGAAUUGGGUACUAAAAUGUUGCACAUAUGAUAGGUAAAAAGCUAAUCCCUAUUGUCAUUUUUGCAAUGCUCCUGCUUCCAGUGAAAGCUGCUCUGCUGUGACCUCUUGCUAUGCAAUUAUGAUUUCCUUUCCCCGUUCUGAUAAUGGUGAAUGUUGCCCUCUGAUGAGGACAAUGAGGUGACAGUUGUUUCAGAGAGACCUGCAGUGGCUUCACUGUACAUGCUCUGCCUCAGUAGAUGUCAGCUAAGAGUAAUUGCAUCCCCCAAGAGUUAGCCUUGCUGCUGUUGACCUUUCUGGAGAAACAAACAUGAAGUAGAGGCACGUGCAAUCCUCACAUGAGCUGGCAGCCAGGUGGGUGCUGUGUGUCACCAGGGAAGACAGGCAGUCACACUUUACUAACAGCAGUGAGGUGCAUUUGGUAUCUUGAAAAUUCUUGCCCACUGAAAGCUCUCAUCUCCAGGUAGAUUGUGACUGGAGGAACUGCUGUCCCAUGCUACCUCCUGGAAACAAGGGGGUGAUGAAAUGGAAUUUAUUUUAGCAGGUCCAAAGAUAAUAAAUUAAUGUUAUUCAUUAUAAAUAUUCAUACAAUAAUUCAUAAGUAUUUUUAUAGUGUAAAUUGUUCCUAAGUACAUAUCUGGAAAUCUAGGCAUAUAUGUAUAUAAAAUGUAUGUAUUUAAAUACAUUGGUAUACAUUGUUUUAUAAUUCAUAAUCUAACACUUAUUAAAAUACAAAUUAGUAAGCUGGGAGAAUCAUGGAAAAGGAGAGGAGCUUUGUGUUGACAAACUCGUGGGAUGGAGAAGCUAUUCCUUCUUGAGAACAAAUAGAACACAAAUGUCUGGUCCACAGCAUGAAUGAUCCACAGUUGGUGUGAAAUAUUUUGUUAAAACUGCUCACUGGUUAAACUCUUAACCUUGGGAGGGUGGAUUAACCUUGUCAUGAGCACUGAGGCAUGUGACAUGCUUGGCCAUGAAAGCAAGGAUGUGAGGGGUCUCACAAGUUUCUGUCAACACUUCAGUGAUGAUGUGGCUCCCUGGGAUGGGUGGCAUUGCUGCCAUUCAUUCUGAGUGACACUGCAGCCUCAUCCACAUGGGUUUGAUUGUACCUCAAAUAUCCCAGCCUUUUGCUAUAUUCGGUUCUCUGUUACCUGAAGUUAAAUUUAGGUACAGAUCACAUCAGCCAAGAUCUUGCUUUUGGAAUAUGUCUGCCUCACUGGUAUGAGUGACUCUGCUUCUUGGGUAGUAUUGAUUUACCAUCUUAUUUCUCCCAAAGGAAACAUGCGCUCUGAACUUUCCUUGUGCUCUGGCAGUGCUUUAUGUGUGCAACCUCCAGGUAAUGUUCACCUCCAUGGAUGUAAGGGAACAGCUAUCCCAGUCUUUCCUGAAUUUACUGCUCAGCACUCAGUGACAUUGUGGGAAAAACAAGGCAUUAUUUUGCUCAUGUCCACCAUCCACAAAUGGCAUUUUGUUUUCAUCACCAUUUUGUUUCUAGCUAAUGUGUCUGCCAACACAGAUUUUCAAACUCCCUUUUCUUUUUUUUUCCUUUUUCUACUAUUUCCUUGUCACCCAUAAGUAGUACAUUGCACUCAGUGUUUAGUGUGUGAGAAACCCUAGGAUGAUUCCCUGUAGUAAUAAAUUUUAGCUGUGGGGAGACGGUGAUUCUGGUGGCUGCAGAAUUCCACCUACAGCAUCCCAUCAUUAUAAAGAAAAAAGUAAGUUUGGAGGAAAGAGCCCUCUUUGAAUCUGGGUAGGGAAAGAGAUGUAUUAACACUUAAAAAGUGGACAAAAUUUGCUCUUCGUGUGCCAAGUUUUGCAUCUUAACCUUUGCAUUUUAAAAUUUUAAAGUUGUGCAUUCUGUUUCCUAAACUGAUGACACUUCAGGAAAACCAGAUCUCUGUAGCCAGUUGCUUCAAAUACGUCCAACACAGAAGUGGUGUUUUGCAGAUGCCCGGGGAAGAUGCAGACCCACAGCAUUGCUGGGAACCAGCCUGUCACAGCUAAAAUACAGUAGUGCAAAAACCUGUCAGCAGGCUGAGCAAACCCAGCCCUUCAUACACGUUAUGUCUGCAGUGUUCUGUGUGAAAGCUAUUAUCCCUUGGAGAAGUUGCUGACACAUUUUAACAAGGAGAAUUAAAGACUUAGAAGUACCUCUGUAGGGUUCCCCUAAUUUGUACUGCAUUCAUAAUCAUAGUCAACUACUGCCCUCUCUUUAGUAAAGAUUAUAUUGGAAGCCAUCCAUAGAUAAAUAACUUCUUGAUACAGUUUUAACUAUUCAUCCUUUUGCAUAUGGCCUGGUUUUGACAUCAGCAGGUAUGUUCACAUUUCUGAGUCCAAAAUGCAAGGUUGCUUUAUGUUAUUUCUUUAGAAACAGUAGAAGUCAUAAAAGAAGGCCUAAUUUUCAAAACAGAAACAUUACAUUUGUAUUUUAUUUAAAAUAAAAUCACGCAGGUGGUGGUGCAAGUCAGUACAGGGUUUGUUCAGGCAGGGUUUGUGGUUUCCUAGCCCACCUGUUUUGCCUGCAGAGCAGCAGAGAGAGCACGGUUUGUGCAAUCAUAAAUCCUGUUCAUACCUUCUCUCCUGGCAAACUCCUAGGGACAUGGCUGUAAGGUGAAACCUGGGCUGGAUGCAGCUGCAAGGGGAGGAAGGGAAUAGCAACUUCCCUUUGCAGGACCCAGGGCACCCUGAAACGCAAAAGGACACGGAGAGGGGCCUACCUCGCUCCCUCCCAGCUGCCCUCGGGUCACACUGCUCACGUCUUUGGGGUAGCUGAAUGCCACGUGGUGCUGCAAAAUGCGCGUCAGGGGCGUUGAUCUCUGCUGGCUCUGGAACUGGAGAGGCUGCUGGAGCUGCCUGAGCUGCUGGCCCCCUGUACCGGUGGGUGUUCACCAGCAGAGGGUGGCUCUAAGACCGUUCAUGUAUUCCUGUAAUGUUUAAACACACUACAGCGUUAAAACUGAGCGUGAUGGCCUCAGUGCUUCCUUUAGUGCCUAAUACUUAAUCUUUAGUUAGUAAUUACAAGAGAGAAGUAUCUGGCAAAAGUUUUUGUUUCAGCUUCCCCUCGCUGAUUUGUUUUUGUUGUUUUCUCCUCUGGCAUUAUUCUUCCAGGUAAGAAUAACCAAAUAUAGUUAAGGAUCAAGGAAUUUGAGAUAAAUAAUUGCAUAAGUCGUCAGUGCUCUAGCAUUUAUUAGGGAUUGAAACAUGAGACUCUAAUAUUGAAGGGAAGUAAUUUCGCUGAACUUCAGACACCUAACAGAUGCCCAGUGUGUGCUUGGGCUUUCCUUGCACUCUGUGGAGAGCACUGCACACAUCCCAAGAUUGAUUUCAGCUCCUCUUACCCUAAUUCAAGAUCUCAGUCUAGAGAACACAAGCUAGCAGGAGCCUGAGCCCAACCAGCACUUGUGUGUGUAUAAUUAUUCUCACGUGGAGCCCCACUAUGUGCGACAGUUAAUGACUAGAUGGUUAUUUAUGUGAGUAGUUUAUGUAGGAAUGGGUUCAAUUCUUGUGUCUCUGUUGCAGGGAGACUAAUUUGUGUCUUGAGAUGUUUGUUCAUUGACCACAGAGGAAGCAGAGGUUAGCCUAGCUCAAAGUGAGCUGACCUCCACAUCUAGCUGAGAUACAGCUCAGCCGCUGUGCCUGCAGGCUGCUGCUGCUGCUAACAUUGGUCAUACUCUGCUUCAUCUUUGAAGGCCUGCACACACUUGGUAGGUUUUAUAGAUCUGAUUUCACAUCGAAGGGACUAAAGUGUAACAGUUCAUGUAAUCAGUAGACGGUCAUUAACUUCUCUGAAAUCAGUGCAAUUCCACAUGGGACCAUGUGUGCAUGAAUAUGUAGUUCAGGCUGUUGCUGACUGGAGACCUGUUGAGAAGCUCUACAGAAUAAAAGGUAGUAGUAAAUGAUGAUGGAAAAUUUUUCAUGUUCUAAUAUAUAGUGAUUUAUAUUCUUAAUUAGAUACUCUGUUCAGAAUUAUCCUACAUAUAUUUAAGUAGUUUUAAAAGGUCUGAACUAAAAUUCAGACAUUCCUGUUCUUGAUUUCAGUUUAUUUACUGCUCAGAAAUUAUUUUCAAAAUGGAAUUCCUAUCUAAAGUUCUUCAAUUAAAAAACCCAAACACCUGAGUACCAGCAGUUUUGAACUAUUGCAGAAGUAUAGCACAGAUGCAGCCUCAGUAUUUACUAGAGUAGAUAAAAUUCCUCUCUGUUUGCAGAAAUAGAGCAACUUAGGGACCAACUCAAGCAAGAAAUUGAAGAGGCAUCUUCAUAAAGACUACAAACAGCAGAUGACCUCUGGCUUUCUCUUCCACAGAAGACAGGCAAUACCAAAUGUGAAGAGGAUUCACUUCCUCCUUCCUGCCUGAUUGGCAGGUAUCAAGCCUUUUGAGCCUGUUUCCAAAACCAUAUCCAUAAUGCAAGAAGUGUUUGAUGUAUGUAAACAUAGAGACAUGCCACAACAAUGAUUAAGGGAUUAGAGGAAAAGGAUCAGGAGGACAAGAGAAGAUUAUUGCAGACAUAAGGGUGUAUCAAUGACACCAGCAUACACUGUGGUUCUUCUGGAAGUUUCCAGUCCACACCAGACUAAGCAGAGCUUUCUGCAGGAUGUAAGCGUGCCCAGCACUUGUGCACUGCUUGAGGUUAAGAUAGAAAAUCCUGUGUGUGAUUCCCUGCUCUAAUGACCUGUUUGUAUACAGAUGGGCUUUCCAGUUAUGGAAAUGACCCAUGACUUAUGAAAUAGCCUCUUCCUGUUUGCAAUGAUGCAGUGAAAUAUUGAGUCAUCUCUAACCCUUGAGCCUUCCCUGCACAAGCUCUUUGUUGUUUGCAGCCUGUCCCCUGAGAUUUGGAUUGAUGAUACUGGACAACUGUUUUCACUUGAACUGGUCCCAGUUUUACCAGUUUUGGAUUAAUUACUGCUCUUUCCUAGGGGAAAAGGUUUGAUCCACAUCAAACUGCUGAUUUGAAUUAUAAUAACUUACUGGAAAAUUACCUGUGUAUAGUUUGGUUUAUAUUAAUGAAUUCUUGAUUUAGGGGAUUAAUUACUUGUAUUUACUGUAUGUACCUAACUCUCCUCCCACAGCGUAAUGAGUCCAGGGGUCCACAAAGUUCUGGAUUCAGAUGGAAAGUACAUACUGUAAUGCUCCACAAGAUUAUAUUUCACUGCCUUUUGGAGAGAGGCCCUAAUGCCAGUGAAAUCUCAGCAAUAUGACAUCUGACCCUUCAAGGGAUGAAAUAGAUUAGGUGCCUGACAACAUAACAAAAAAUCUUUUGUGAGGUAUUUAGUUGAGUAUUUUUAUCCUUUCUCUACAGAAUAUAGCAAAGGCUUAGGUAGAGCAGGUUGGAUGGCCCUAACUUAGAGCGGUUAAGUUUAGUUUAACUUUGAAUUAACGUCUUGGCUGAAGAGCUGCAUUUCCAGUGGCUGUGCAGACUGCUGGGUGUGCUGCCAAAUAGCUGGAGAUUGCAGAGUGAUGUUGUUGUUAAUUUGUUUCUGCCAGAGAGACAUUCCUCUUCAUCUCUGGGACAGUGUCGUAAGUCACUGUCUUGGUUUGAAAAGACAGGUGCUGCUAAGGAAGGCAGGAGCCUCCCUUGAAAUGGAAAAUGUAAACCCCCUCUCUCUGGAUUAUUAUAAUUUUGAAAUUAAGGGGCUCUCAGGCAAAGAUAUGGGAAUAGGAAUAACAGUUCUUUACUAGGAAAAUUAAAAUAAAAAUGCAGUAGUACAAAAAAGAAAAAAAGUACUGACAGAGUCAGAAUAUAACCUGACACCCUGUGGGUCAGGGUGUUGGUAGCAGUCUGAUUGAGUGGUGGCUGCAGUCCUCCUGGGGUGACAAAUGUGGUUUGUUGAAGCAGUGAUCCUGCAGAAGGGUACAGUUCUCCUCUGAAGGUCCAGAAGGGCUGCAGACAGGUCUGGUCUUCCUCUGGGAAUCCAGUGGGAAAAGGUUAAACCAACUGGUUUUAACAGCUGGCCCAUUAACAGAAAAUAACUGCCCCAGCUGCUCUAAACAGCUGGUAACAGAAUAAAUACUUGCAGUUACAUCUCGCAUUGCAACCUAACACAGUCACUUACUGAUCCUGCCCAUCCCUGGACCCGGUGGGAACUCAAGCAUAAUGUAUGUGCCAGUUAAAAGCCACUGUGCCUUCCUAGAAGCAGCUCAUUUUAGCAGUUAUCCUACAAAGAAGGAGGAAAGAAGGUGGAACAAACCAAGUUACUUUGGUGAGGUAAAAGAGCCAGCAGUUUUCCAGGUUUGAAAUGCAAUGCCAUUAGACACUGACAACUGAGUUGCUUCAUCAAGGCACAGAAUUUUGCAAAGCCUUUGACAAAUUAAAUGCAGAUGCAACAUAAGGCAUUUUCUUGUGGAACAUUUCAAUGGCUAUUCUUGGUUUUCCCAGUGGGAUCUUACUUUCUUAUAGCAGAGAUUUGUCACCAGUUAAUUAAUUUAUGUGAACUCUCUGCCAAAAUCAACAAGGAAGGAAUUGACAUGACAGACUCUGGAAACAGGGGAGUUGUGACAUGUUUGAAGAGAAUGCAUGCUCAGAGGAGGGUCUGCUGCUCUUUCAAAAAGCAGUUUCCUAUCAGCAAAACAAGCUCCACUCUUUCCUGCUUGUAUCUUGUCCCUGCCUUGCAGCAGUGCUACAGGGGUGCUUCAUCUUGUGGGAAGCCAAGGGAAAGAGAUUUACUAAAGAACAACCUUACACAUGCUAUUGCAACUCCAGCCAUACUAUUGAGUGGAGCUAAGGCAAGCAUUAAAGAAAGCUGUAACUCCAAGGAUUAGAAGUCUUCACAGUAAUUACGGGGUCUGUUUUUCUACUGACAUGCUGCAGCUUCCAUGACAAAUGAAAGAAGUACAUAUUGGUACAACAGUACAGAAAAAUAUCACCCUGCUGCCUGGUCAUGGGUGAUGUGGGGCAGACAUGUCAAUUCCUGAGAGAAAACAACAGUGCAAAAUUUAGGUGGCUGCAAACUGCCAUUUUUUAAUACUGAAAGAUCAAACUCCAAGCAGCGGAAAAUGUGAGGCAGUGCCCAGAGCAGUUCUAUCUUUAAGAAAUGUAAGUAAACACAAGUAGCCAGGAGUUCAAGAACUAACUUAAAACAGAAAUUAUGCUACUUCUCUCUCCAUUCUUCUCACCCUUCCCUGAAACACUGCAACCAAAACCAACAGCAUACCAUGUCAUCCCAAGCCUCAAUAUUUAUUCACAUAUGCAAAGCUUUUUAAAAUCCCCUGACAACUUGUACAAGAAAACUAUUUAGCUAUGAGUGGAAUGUCCUCUUACAAAAUGCCAAACAGCCUUGUGCUUUUUAGGCCAAAAGCUAACAAGUUGAACUGUGAGCUCUUAUUACUUGUUCUGUUCCUCCACAGUAAGAAUCUGGAGUGCUUUAAAAAUGCUGAGAGCGUGACAGUGAUUGACAAGAAAAGAAGGAAUGUAAGGACAUACUGUACUUUUAAAAAUUUUGAUUAUUUUUGUAAAACAAAAUUGAUAGUGAUAGAGGUCUUGCAUUUGCAGUUUGAACCAGGAGCCAGGGCUGUUUUCUCAACCAUGCUCCUUACACACUGCCUUGCACCCUUAUGUAGGAACACCAAAUUUGGUAUAAUCCCAGAGUAACUUCAAGGAGAGAGAUCCUAAGAAAUUAAACAGUAGCUUGAACCAUUCAUGUUUUAACUUUUUCUCAGUGAAAGCGUGUCUUAAUUUUAGUGUGUGCAGUGCAUGUGUGAGGCUCUUUCCAUAAUUUUUACUGGAUGUGUGCAGUGAUGGAUCUCCAAGGUUUGGUUCCAGUUCGGUGUGGGCACAUGACCACGUUGUCAUUGAAUUAAGUAUGUCUGGUAUGGAGUUGAUAUGAGUUUUUAACAGUUGGUAGCUGAUAUCUAAUCUGACAUGAAGUGACAAUGGCACAGAGAGAGCGGUAGUUUUAAUCACAUUAAGUGUGUCAGUAAGAAAUCAGCAAAAUUUGAGAGCAAUUUUAACUGACAGUGUGAGUGAAAGCUGGAUCUGCACUUUGGGUAGCAGGUUAUGGUAUAUCUGGUCUGAUGCCAAGAGCCCUAAUGUUGGAUUUAUUGUGUCAUUAAGCCAUGGCCGGAGAGGAGGAGGCUGAACUGUGUCUCUUACAGUUGCUGAAAAAGGAAAACACUGCCACUGGUGUGUUCUUCUCAGUGAAAAAGCCAGUGCUAUGGGAAAACUGCUGUUGGAGAUGAUUCAACCAUCAUCUGUCUGCAUGUUAAAUCUUCAAAAUACUCUGUAACUGCAUAGAGAUGGUAAAAACAAUUUGAAAGUGCUAACAUGCAAAAGCAGGGAGAUUUAAGGAUGUGUUGCAAGCAUUUGUAUAACUACACUUCUUGAACUGAGCUCAGGUAUAGUUCUUGUCUGCUUGGAUCAUUUAACUGGCCAAAGACCAAAAUAUACCCUUAAUAUUCCACAGACACCUAUGCCCAGUAAUGACAGGGUCCUCCAGUGACAUGUUAACUGUGUCAAUAAAACGUUAGCUAAAUAGUAGCUGGGUUUUUCUGGUUAAAAGAAAACUUGACCUUCAUUAUAUUCCAAGAUAAGCUUUUAAAAACUUACUUUUUCAUUAUGGGGUUUAUUUAUUUCAUUUGGUUAGCCUCUGUGGUAACUUGGUGACUGGCAAAUUUGGAUCUGCUAAUUUAUUGACUUGACUGAAAACACAGCCUAAAUCAUCUAAAAUAUAGAUCAUUGCUUUGUUUGUCAUCAGUCUGCUGGAAUUUUAAGUAAACUAGGUAAAUGUGCUAUGUCAGAUUCAUGCAUACAUGUAGAUGUGAGAUGUAUUUACUCCAUCAGUUCACAAGCUGGGUCACAGUCUGAGGGCAUUCAGCUCUGGGGUGAAAUCACCAGCCUCUUGCACCCAUCUCCACAGUGACUACCUGCAUGCCUUCCAUUACACAGGCUCUACAUCCCCAAUAAAGUGACCACAAGAGAUUGCUAUGUUGCACUACUGACAAUGUAGCUGUUUAUAUAGAGUGUAAACAUGCAUGUGCACUGUGCAUGCACUAACAUGCCUUCAUUUAGCCACAUAAGUCAACACAAGGCACAGAAUUGUCAGAUGUCUUUGCCUCUAAUGAGCACCUACCCAGACACGCAGCUGGUUUGGAACAGGACAAAGCAGGCAGUUCCAGGGCAUCUAACCCAACUGCUGCAGGGCAAGGCAGCCACAGCCUGGGGCCUCCUGCAGCUUGCAGGGGGAGUUCCUGCUCUCUGCAUGUUCACUGGCUAUUGUGUGCCCUGGAACACGGUGUGUAACAAAACAUACAGACUGAUGUUUUGGCACCAGGGAAGAUGCUGCCUCGGUCUUGGAUGCUGCGGCUGUGGUUGGAACCCUGGAAAAGGGGCAAGAUGCUUUUCUUUGGUGCUGUUAAGUAUGAUCUGUUGAGUGAACCACUUUAGGACGGGAUGGACAGAGAAAAGUGUUUGCAAGAAAGAACCUAAACUAACAAGGGUUUAAUUUAGAAACUUUCUGUUCUGCCUAACUUGAAGAGUUCUCUGUUGUUGUUGGGGUUUUGUAAAAAUAUUCCUUUACGUUUAACAAAAUCUGUUUUCUGAACUCAAGAGCUUUGUGUUUUGGGAUGUAUCUUUCAAGGGAAAACUGGAGGUCAGUCCACCUCAAAGAUGUGCUGACUCCACCAGAGUGCUCAUAUAAUUAUAAAUGUUUAUUACCUCCAGAAUAAGGAGGUGCCUGCUUUAAGGUGUCUUGCAGGAUUAUAAUGUGAAUUCCUUAGUUCACUGUCCCUCUGCCCCAUGCUUAGUGGAUUUGCACUUAGUAGAUUUGUGCACGUGUACAUGACAAGAGCCAAUUGCCAAACAUAAAGAUUUGAAUGUAAACUCAUUGCUAAACUUUGGCCUGGAAGCAUCAAGUUGUUCUUCUGAGCAUUUGCACGUACAAAAGGUGAGUACAGAGGUAAAGAGCAAUAAAAGGGCAAGGCAAAAGAGGAGGACUCAUAAAGCACCUCGGCAGAGCUACCCUGUUGGCCUGUAUCAGAGUCUGAGUUUUGCCCUUUUAAAUGCUUGUGCCUUUGCACACUUUGCACCAUGGGGUCCUUUAUAACACAUGCAGAACCUGAACAAAGCACAUUUGCAGCUCCUCUACCUAUUUAGGAGCUGCUGUGUACACUUUGCAAUGUUUCAUGUAGUGUGAGUAAAACAAAUAGGUACCUUUAUUCUUCCUUAUUCCUGAUGGAAGCAGCAAGGGGGAAAGGGCAAAAGGAGAAGCCAGAAUUUCUGCUAUCAGGAGGAAAAUUGAGAUAGAGAAAACCUAAGAUUUUAUUUGGGCAACCUAGAAAUGUGUCUGCUUGCUAAUGAGUUCUGCUGUAAAUCACUAGCUCAUUAUUAUGUAUAUAUUCUGCUUAUUUGCUGUAUUUACUUAAUGACUCGAUAAUUCAAAUCUGCAAAUUUAUUGAUUUAACUGAAAUUGCAGCCUAAAUCUUAUAAAAUGUGGGGUAAAUACAUGUAUGGAUUAUUGUGGGAUGGUUUUGUUACGGGGCUAGAGUGUCCCCAAACAGAAGCACAUAACUUUUACCUUUGUUUACAUAUGUUUAAAAAUAUACCCAAGAUACCCAAGCACAGUACUGUCACAUAUAAACACAGCUCAAAGCAAUAACUGGCUGUGACAAGGCCAGAAACCCAUCCCAGUUCUAUCUCACGUGGCACAUCUCCAAAUGCUGAUUCUCGUGGUAUAUCCCAAUAUACCAACUGCUCCCAGCACAAAGGCAACAGUUUUAGUUCAUUAUGGAUUGUUUAUGAUUGACAAUAUUUACUGUAUGUACAUUUUGAACAAACACAGUGCUGUAAACAAAUAGGGAUAUUAGGCAGCUGUAUGUUCCUAUACCAUGCAAAUAAACUGUAGCUGGAGCUUUUAACCGGCUAGCAACUCAGGCAAACAGAUUGUAAAAGCAGUUGGGAAUUAGCCCAGGACUUUUAGGAUGGUUGUGAAGAAGUACAUUGUAAGUACUUCUGUAAUUAUUCCAUCUAGGUCAGCCAGUGAAUUGUUUUACUGUACAGUCCUCAAAAUGGCUGCACUUAGUCUGGCAUUUCUGAGGGACAGGCAAGGGCUUUAGGCCUUGUAUGGCCAGUAUGGCAAGAAAUCAUCGUGCUCAUAUCACUUUUGUCUUGCAGUCCUGGGGAAUGGGCUGGCGGGCACAGCUCUGCUGCAGGGUUCCUCCUUCAAGACCAAAAUUUCUGUCCUCUCCCUGUCCCCCACACCAAUGUGCCACCAUUGCACUGAUGCGAUUGAUGAGCAGGGUCUACUCACACCUUUGAUGAGGGAAGUGCUGAUUCAUGUGGGCCUUGUGUGGGACCCCCUGGGCAGGGUCUGCAGGGAUGCUGUGACUUCAGCCCCAUCCCACCCACUGCCAACCACUUUGCACCUCCUCAAAACCUGUGCAGCACAGGCAAGGGAGCUUUCCUUUUCAGCAUACUGAAGUGAUUACUCUGCUCACUCAGGAUGGUUUUUCCAAGAACUGUGGCUGCUGACAUCUGUAUGCAACUACAAAGCUCCGGGGAUCCUCUGGAGAUGGAUGCAGGCAGGGUAUUCCAGCUUAGAAGUCCUCAAGAGCAGCAUAAAAUAUGUAUAAUCAUUAUGUCCUUCUGUUUAUUCUGACCCUGUACAAGAUGAAGCUAUGUGUCAUAUGCUUAAUAUUAAAUGGACUGAACAGGUUUCUCUUUAA